rnacentral:rRNA from 1 species
AUACGGAGGAUGCGAGCGUUAUCCGGAUUUAUUGGGUUUAAAGGGUGCGUAGGCGGACGAUUAAGUCAGCUGUGAAAUGCCCGCGCUUAACGCGGGCAGUGCAGUUGAUACUGGUUGUCUGGAGUGCCGUUGCCGUGGGGGGAAUGUGUAGUGUAGCGGUGAAAUGCAUAGAUAUGACGAAGAACACCGAUUGCGUAGGCAGCUGACCAGACCGCAAAUGACGCUCAUGCACGAAAGUGCGGGGAUCGAACAGGAUUAGAUACCCUGGUAGUCCGCACAGUAAACGAUGAAUACUUGUUUUCGGCGAUAUAAUGUCGGAGGCAAAGCGAAAGCGAUAAGUAUUCCACCUGGGGAGUACGCCGGCAACGGUGAAACUCAAAUGAAUUGACGGGG